UUGGAUGCUGAUCAUCUUUCGCCGGUGAAGAUCGUAGGGCUCGUGCUCAAUCAGCCAUUUUUCGGUGGGGUCCAGAGGACUGAAUCGGAGAAAAGAAUGAUCGACGACAAGCUCUGUCCGUUGAGUGCAACGGAUCUCAUGUGGGACCUGUCGUUGCCGAAGGGUGCGGAUCGCGAUCAUGAAUAUUGCAAUCCGAUCGCAAGUGUGGAAACUAACGAUAAGAUCGGACGGCUGCCAAGUAGUUUUGUGGGAGGACGCGAGGGGGACCCGUUGAUCGACAGACAAAAAGAGUUAUCAAAAAUGUUAGAGGCGCGCGGAGUGCACGUGGUGCCACAGUUUGACGAUGGUUACCACGCAUGUGAGCUGUUUGAUCCUUCCAAAGCCGAAGCCCUGUACAAGGCUGUCCAGGAAUUCGU
rnacentral:lncRNA from 1 species